rnacentral:rRNA from 1 species
AGAGUUUGAUCCUGGCUCAGGACGAACGCUGGCGGCGUGCCUAAUACAUGCAAGUAGAACGCUGAAGAGAGGAGCUUGCUCUUCUUGGAUGAGUUGCGAACGGGUGAGUAACGCGUAGGUAACCUGCCUUGUAGCGGGGGAUAACUAUUGGAAACGAUAGCUAAUACCGCAUAACAAUGGAUGACACAUGUCAUUUAUUUGAAAGGGGCAAUUGUUCCACUACAAGAUGGACCUGCGUUGUAUUAGCUAGUAGGUGAGGUAAUGGCUCACCUAGGCGACGAUACAUAGCCGACCUGAGAGGGUGAUCGGCCACACUGGGACUGAGACACGGCCCAGACUCCUACGGGAGGCAGCAGUAGGGAAUCUUCGGCAAUGGGGGCAACCCUGACCGAGCAACGCCGCGUGAGUGAAGAAGGUUUUCGGAUCGUAAAGCUCUGUUGUAAGUCAAGAACGGGUGUGAGAGUGGAAAGUUCACACUGUGACGGUAGCUUACCAGAAAGGGACGGCUAACUACGUGCCAGCAGCCGCGGUAAUACGUAGGUCCCGAGCGUUGUCCGGAUUUAUUGGGCGUAAAGCGAGCGCAGGCGGUUUGAUAAGUCUGAAGUUAAAGGCUGUGGCUCAACCAUAGUUCGCUUUGGAAACUGUCAAACUUGAGUGCAGAAGGGGAGAGUGGAAUUCCAUGUGUAGCGGUGAAAUGCGUAGAUAUAUGGAGGAACACCGGUGGCGAAAGCGGCUCUCUGGUCUGUAACUGACGCUGAGGCUCGAAAGCGUGGGGAGCGAACAGGAUUAGAUACCCUGGUAGUCCACGCCGUAAACGAUGAGUGCUAGGUGUUGGAUCCUUUCCGGGAUUCAGUGCCGCAGCUAACGCAUUAAGCACUCCGCCUGGGGAGCACGACCGCAAGGUUGAAACUCAAAGGAAUUGACGGGGGCCCGCACAAGCGGUGGAGCAUGUGGUUUAAUUCGAAGCAACGCGAAGAACCUUACCAGGUCUUGACAUCCCGAUGCUAUUUCUAGAGAUAGAAAGUUACUUCGGUACAUCGGUGACAGGUGGUGCAUGGUUGUCGUCAGCUCGUGUCGUGAGAUGUUGGGUUAAGUCCCGCAACGAGCGCAACCCCUAUUGUUAGUUGCCAUCAUUCAGUUGGGCACUCUAGCGAGACUGCCGGUAAUAAACCGGAGGAAGGUGGGGAUGACGUCAAAUCAUCAUGCCCCUUAUGACCUGGGCUACACACGUGCUACAAUGGUUGGUACAACGAGUUGCGAGUCGGUGACGGCGAGCUAAUCUCUUAAAGCCAAUCUCAGUUCGGAUUGUAGGCUGCAACUCGCCUACAUGAAGUCGGAAUCGCUAGUAAUCGCGGAUCAGCACGCCGCGGUGAAUACGUUCCCGGGCCUUGUACACACCGCCCGUCACACCACGAGAGUUUGUAACACCCGAAGUCGGUGAGGUAACCUUUUGGAGCCAGCCGCCUAAGGUGGGACAGAUGAUUGGGGUGAAGUCGUAACAAGGUA